rnacentral:lncRNA from 1 species
CACCCCUUCCCCCUCCUUUGCAAAGCCCCCCUCCCUGUUUUUUCAGCCCCCUCCCCCCCAUCCCCCAUGGAGCUCAAUCCUGGCCAACUCCAACGUAUGCACGCAGCACCGAAUAGGCCCCCGGGGGGCGAGAGCGCCCCCAGUACCCAGCUGCAAACUUAGCACGCGACGCGCCCCCCUAUCUCCCCACGCCGGCUCCCCCCACCCUCAAUGCAGCCCCGCUUCCCCUCCCCCUCUCCUCGCGCUCCUGGGAGCCCCGAAAAAACCAUGCACCAGGGGGGUCGGGGGGGGGCGGCCGGCGCACAAGCCUAUGCACUUCGCCCCUAAUACCCCUUCCCUGGCGGCGCCCCCUCCCCGCGCUCGGGAUCCAGGGCGCCUCCAGCCUCCCGGCAGCUGCCAGCCACCCCCUCCUCUGAAACUUGCGGAACGUCCCUGGCUCCCGGGAUCGCCCCUUCUGGCGAGGGCAAAGGCAGGAAACUUCCACUGCCGUGGGUGAAAUGUACCCCGUCUGUCCUUCUGUGACUUCAAAGCUUUCCUGCACUUCAUUGCCUCUUCACACACGUAUUAAAAGUGCCUUUCAACUCCCAAACGGGUUGGAUUGGCUUUUGUAAUAGUAAUUUGGCUUCAAGGGGAAACCCGGGAGGCCCCCAGAAGGGAAGUGACAGCCCCAGGACUUGCAGCCUGAAACCAACCCCCCAGGGUAGAUGGAAAAGGACUGAGGGAGGGGCCACUUGGGUCCAGAGUGAGGGCGGAACCCAGGGACUUUGCUCUAACGACCCUGCCUGGGAUAUAAGUCCUCUUCCUUCCUUAAACCACCCUGCCAUCAGCCUUGGGACAAGAAGGGCCAAGCAGAAACACAAUUUGCAGGUCCCAGGAUAGUUAUUGGGUACUGGAGAUAACUGAAGUUCAGGCCUUCAUCCUAAGCGGUCUUACUUGCCAUCCCCCCAAUGUCCACCCAUUCAACCAGAGCAGGGGUGACUCAGUGUCCCCCCUGUACCACCCAGCCUCAGAUUUCUGGCACCCUUCUCUGCCGCAGAUAACCUGACUCAGAAGGGGCAGGGAAUUCAUAUAUAAGAUUAGCAUUGAAUCUAAUCCUUAUCAGGCCCCAGGAAAAAACAAGGGUUAUAUAAUUUCCAUCUUACAUUUGAGGAAACUGAGGCCAAGGGAGGGACAGUGAGCAAGGAUGUCAAAUCCAGCUUCACCUGGCUCUAGACCCUGCCGGAGGGGCUGAAGGUGGGUCCUUCAGGAAAUGCCAGGAUUGCAUACCCCAACCCUAUGCCCAGUCCUGCUCCUGCAAUGAAAAGAGAGAGAAGGGAGCAAAGCUUUGUCCUGACCCCUAUUCCUCUGUCCCUACCCCAACCCUCUCCUCCCCACCCCCCAAGAAACCCAGGUAGAUAAUUUUUUUUUUUUUUUAUGGUGGCACCUGUGGCAUAUGGAUGUUCCUGGGGCAGGGGGGCUAGUGGUCAUAUCUGAGCUGCAGCUGCCAGCCUACACCACAGCCACAGCAACAUCGGAUCCCAGCCGCAUCUGUGACCUAUGCCGGAGGUUGUGGCAAUACCAGAUCCUUUACCCACUGAGUGAGGCCAAGGAUUGAACCCACAUCCUCAUGGAUACUAUGCUGGUUCUUAACCCACUGAGCCACAACAGGAACUCUCAAGUAGAUACUAUUUUAAGACUUAAUAGGAGUUCCCGUUGUGGCGCAGUGGUUAACGAAUCCGACUGGGAACCAUGAGGUUGCGGGUUCGGUCCCUGCCCUUGCUCAGUGGGUUAAUGAUCCGGUGUUGCCGUGAGCUGUGGUGUAGGUUGCAGACGUGGCUCGGAUCCUGAGUUGCUGUGGCUCUGGUGUAUGCCGGUGGCUGCAGCUCCGAUUCGACCCCUAGCCUGGGAAUCUCCAUAUGCUGCGGGAGCGGCCCAAGAAAUAGCAAAAAAAAAAAAAAAAAAAAAAAAAAAAAGAUUAAAUUACUGUGUGACAUUGGGCAGAUUACUUAAUUUCUCUGAUCCUUAGAGUCCUCUGGAAAGAAUAAUGGUAGAGACCUCCUAGGGUUGUGACAAAGGAGAGAUAAAAUGAUACAUGUAACAUACUUAAACAGCACAUGGAUAUGAUUAUGUUGGUAUUGCUGUCAUUAUUAUUCAUUUCCAAAGGUGAAAAAUUUACACACACUCAAGCAUUUUUUCCUCAUUGGCUGACCCCCGCCUCCCCCCUCCCCCCACCAAAUGCCUGGCUAAAGUGUUUUUGGAAUGUAUCAGGACCAGCUCCAUCUUAGCAAUAAAACAAUAUAAAAAUUGAUGAAUACUUGGC